AUGGGCAAGUUCAUGAAACCCCGGGAAAGGGGUGCUGGUCCUGGCCAGACGCUACUCCGGAUGGAAAGCAGUCAUCGUGAAGAACAUUGAUGAUGGCACUUUAGACCGUCCCUACAGCCAUGCUCUGGUGGCAGGAAUUGGCCGCUAUCCCCGCAAAGUGACAGCUGUCACGGGCAAGAAGAAGAUCGCCAAGCGAUCAAAGAUCAAGUCUUUUGUGAAAGUUUAUAACUACAGUCACCUCAUGCCCACAAGGUACUCUAUGGAUAUACCCUUGGACAAAGCUGUCGUCAACAAGGGUGUCUUCAGAGACCCUGCUCUUAAACGCAAGGCCCGACGGGAGGCCAAGGUCAAGUUUGAAGAGAGGCACAAGACGGGUAAGAAUAAGUGGUUCUUCCAGAAGCUGCGAUUUUAA